rnacentral:rRNA from 1 species
AUUGAACGCUGGCGGCGGGCUUAACACAUGCAAGUCGAACGAGUGGCGGACGGGUGAGUAAUGCUUGGGAAUCUAGCUUAUGGAGGGGGAUAACUACGGGAAACUGUAGCUAAUACCGCGUACCAUAGGAUGAGCCCAAGUGGGAUUAGGUGGUUGGUGGGGUAAAGGCCCACCAAGCCGACGAUCUCUAGCGGGUCUGAGAGGAUGACCAGCCACACUGGGACUUAGACACGGCCCAGACUCCUACGGGAGGCAGCAGUGGGGAAUAUUGCGCAAUGGGGGCAACCUGACGCAGCCAUGCCGCGUGAAUGAAGAAGGCCUUCGGGUUGUAAAGGUCUUUCGUUAGGGAAGCGUUAACUACAGAAGAAGCACCGGCUAACUCCGUGCCAGCAGCCGCGGUAAUAC